rnacentral:tRNA from 1 species
UCUUAGUGGCUCAGAGGUUAAAAGCAUCUGCCUGCAAUGCGGGAGACCUGGGUUCAAUCCCUGGGUUGAGAA